UUCAUAUACAGUAUACGUAUGCAAAUGAUCCUUACCCGUCCGAUCAUUAUAAAUACUGUAUGCAAAUGAAUCCUUACCCGUCUAUCAAUAUAAAUACUAUUACGCUUACCCGUUAUCCGGAUCAAUGUCCAUAUAUCUCGUGUGUCGUGGCUUAAAAGUCGUGUGUCGUGAGUAAAUUCGCAGGUAAAGUCGCGGGUCAUAGAUUUAGAAAAUUUGGGCCUGAUUGAAAAAAAAAAAUUCCUUUAUGGACGGACAUACAGAUGUUCAAAAGGGAUAAUGAUGCAGAAAGUUUUUGCUCAGUAUAAUUUUAAAGCACAGUUUGACAUAUAAACUUUCGUAUACAGUAUUCGUAUGCAAAUGAGUCCUUACCCGUCCAAUCAUUAUAAAUAGUAUUACGCUUACCCGUUACCCGCGGGAGUCAACUAAAAUUUGAGACUUAGGAAAUUUCGAG
rnacentral:lncRNA from 1 species